ensembl:lncRNA
AUGUGGGCACCCUCUUCUCCAUGUCGACAUUUCAGCCGCAGAUGUCAUGCUUCAUGAUCUUGUUGAGAGCAUUAGCAAUUGCAGUUGGUCCCCUGCUUUCAUAUACACUGAAAUCAUUUUCAAAAGAAUGAAAGAUAUAAAUAAGGGUAUGCGUUCUUUACAACCGCCCUUUCCCCCAGCCCCUGGAAUGCUUGAUUGCUUCUAGACAGAGGAUUUGUCGAGUUGUGUUAUUUUGUUCUCAUUUACUUUCUUUUCCAGUUAUGUAUCAAGUUAUUUCCUAAUAUGGUUUCAUAUGAUGGCUAAUGGUACAGAAUUGAUGCAAUUGCUCCAAAAAAGGCUUUUAGCCAGUAGAUUCUAAUUAAAGCAACUUUUUUUUUUUUUUCCAGAGGAGAAAAAAAAAGUCCUUCCAGGAGCCCACUUUCUUUGUAUCAGAUGAAUAUAUAUGCAGUAAUUUGCCAGCUUAUUGGAGACAGAAGCUGAAAUAUGCUCGGAGCAGUUAUAUUCAACCAUAUCUUCUGUGAUGUCCUUCCUUCAACAACCCGUGCACUUGGGCACCUGGACAGCAGUGAGUAGCAGCCUUGCUGAUGGAAAGAAGAUGCUGUCUGGAUGACUGGUUCCCAUGGAAAGCAAGGAAGCUCCCCGGCCGUGGCUGUUGUGCAUGUUGGAGGAGAUGCAUCACUGAAGGA